rnacentral:rRNA from 1 species
UACGUAGGGUGCAAGCGUUGUCCGGAAUUAUUGGGCGUAAAGAGCUCGUAGGCGGUUUGUCGCGUCUGCUGUGAAACGACGGGGCUCAACUCCGCGCCUGCAGUGGGUACGGGCAGACUAGAGUGCAGUAGGGGAGACUGGAAUUCCUGGUGUAGCGGUGGAAUGCGCAGAUAUCAGGAGGAACACCGGUGGCGAAGGCGGGUCUCUGGGCUGUAACUGACGCUGAGGAGCGAAAGCGUGGGUAGCGAACAGG